CCGCAGCAGCCGCGGUAAUUCCUACGGGAGGCAGCAGUGGGGAAUUUUGGACAAUGGGCGCAAGCCUGACCCAGCAAUGCCGCGUGAGUGAAGAAGGCCUUCGGGUUGUAAAGCUCUUUCAGUCGAGAAGAAAAAGCUGCAGUGAAUAACUGUAGUUCAUGACGGUAUCGACAGAAGAAGCACCGGCUAACUACGUGCCAGCAGCCGCGGUAAU
rnacentral:rRNA from 1 species